rnacentral:rRNA from 1 species
UACGGAAGGGGCAAGCGUUGUUCGGAAUCAUUGGGCGUAAAGGGCGCGCAGGUGGUCCUAUGUGUCUACUGUGAAAGCACACGGCUCAACCGUGUCGGGUCGGUGGAAACUGUAGGACUUGAGGCUGGGAGGGGCUGGUGGAAUUCCCUGUGUAGCGGUGAAAUGCGUAGAGAUGGGGGAGAACACUCGUGGCGAAGGCGGCCAGCUGGACCAGUCCUGACACUGAGGCGCGACAGCGUGGGGAGCAAACAGG